AUCGAACGCUGGCGGCAGGCCUAACACAUGCAAGUCGAACGAGUGGCGGACGGGUGGGUAAUGUCUGAGCAAAUGCCUGAUGGAGGGGGCAAAAGAAUGUAAAAGGUAGAUACUACAGCCAAACAUCGUAUGUGCUCAGAGGGGAUUAGCUAGUAGGUGGGGUAACGGCUCACCUUGGGGACGAUACCUAGCAGGUCUGAGAGGAUGACCAGCCACACGGGAACUGGGACACGGUCCAGACUCCUACGGUAGGCAGCAGUGGGGAAUAUUGGGCAAUGGGCGAAAGCCUGAUGCAGCCACGCCGCGUGUGUGAAGAAGGCUUUCGGGUUGUAAAGUCCUUUCGGCGGGGAGGCGGUACCCGCAGAGGAAGCCACGGCUAACUCCGUGCCAGCAGCCGCGGUAAUUC
rnacentral:rRNA from 1 species